rnacentral:snRNA from 1 species
GACCCACUUUGAUAUGUAGUCU